rnacentral:lncRNA from 1 species
ACAGGAUUGACCCUCCCAAGACUCCUCCGGCUUUCGACCGCAGAUGGUAUCUCCCCGGACUUCUCCAACAGCCGGAUUCCCACAGUGCUGACUGAAUUCCCCCGACGGACGAACUCCCACUACACCACCCGAGCUCCUUCAACAUGAGUUCCCCCAGUUAUCUAUUAAACCGCCUUAAGCGCUCACUAAGCUCCGCCACCAGCCGACUUUCUACGACUAUCAGCUGCUCCCCGAAUCCCUUCCAGACUUCUUCCAGCCAGGUUCAACUCCAAUCCAAACUACCCC